rnacentral:rRNA from 1 species
CCUGGCUCAGGAUGAACGCUAGCUACAGGCUUAACACAUGCAAGUCGAGGGGCAGCAUUGAGAUAGCUUGCUAUUCAGAUGGCAACCGGCGCACGGGUGAGUAACGCGUAUCCAACCUUCCCCUUAGUAGAGGAUAGCCCGGCGAAAGUCGGAUUAAUACUCUAUGUUGUAUUUUGAGGACAUCUGACGAAUACCAAAGAUUCAUCGCUAAGGGAUGGGGAUGCGUCUGAUUAGCUUGUUGGCGGGGUAACGGCCCACCAAGGCGACGAUCAGUAGGGGUUCUGAGAGGAAGGUCCCCCACAUUGGUACUGAGACACGGACCAAACUCCUACGGGAGGCAGCAGUGAGGAAUAUUGGUCAAUGGGCGAGAGCCUGAACCAGCCAAGUAGCGUGCAGGAAGAACUGCCCUAUGGGUUGUAAACUGCUUUUAUCAGGGAAUAAAGUGCGGCACGUGUGCUGUUUUGUAUGUACCUGAUGAAUAAGGACCGGCUAAUUCCGUGCCAGCCGCAGC